rnacentral:misc_RNA from 1 species
GUGAAUUAUAGGGCGUCGUUCCUGCUUCGGCAGAACGAGCCUGACCUCCACUUUCUAACUCUGUGCAUUUGUUGGCUUGAGUCGGUGACACGGUCGGUUCGCUUGCGGACGGGCCGGCGAAGCGACUCUGGCGGCUUCACUUUUAAAACACCAGUCAAAGUAUGUAACGAAAUAUCGAAAUAAAAAA